rnacentral:rRNA from 1 species
GAGGGGAGUGAAAUAGAACCUGAAACCCUGCACUUACAAGCUGUGGAAGCACAUUUCUUGUGUGACCGCGUACUUUUUGUAGAACGGGCCAACGAGUUACGUUAAGUAGCCAGGUUAAGCACUUAAGGUGCGGAGCCGUAGCGAAAGCGAGUUUUAACUGAGCGUUCAGUUACUUGACGUAGACCCGAAACCGGGCGACCUACCCAUGA